AGAACGAACGCUGGCGGCAGGCCUAAUACAUGCAAGUCGAACGCACUCUUCGGAGUGAGUGGCAGACGGGUGAGUAACGCGUGGGAACCUUCCCAAUGGUACGGAAUAACUCCGGGAAACCGGUGCUAAUACCGUAUAAGCCCCUCGGGGGAAAGAUUUAUCGCCAUUGGGUGGGCCCGCGUCGGAUUAGCUAGUUGGUAAGGUAACGGCUUACCAAGGCUACGAUCCGUAGCCGGUCUGAGAGGAUGAUCAGCCACACUGGGACUGAGACACGGCCCAGACUCCUACGGGAGGCAGCAGUAGGGAAUCUUGGACAAUGGGCGAAAGCCUGAUCCAGCCAUGCCGCGUGAGUGAAGAAGGCCUUAGGGUUGUAAAGCUCUUUUGGCGGGGACGAUAAUGACGGUACCCGCAGAAUAAGCCCGGCUACUUCGUGCCAGCAGCCGC
rnacentral:rRNA from 1 species